ACGGGUGAGUAACACGUAUCCAACCUGCCGUCUACUCUUGGACAGCCUUCUGAAAGGAAGAUUAAUACAAGAUGGCAUCAUGAGUCCGCAUGUUCACAUGAUUAAAGGUAUUCCGGUAGACGAUGGGGAUGCGUUUCAUUAGAUAGUAGGCGGGGUAACGGCCCACCUAGUCUUCGAUGGAUAGGGGUUCUGAGAGGAAGGUCCCCCACAUUGGAACUGAGACACGGUCCAA
rnacentral:rRNA from 1 species